GGUCCAGACUCCUACGGGAGGCAGCAGUGGGGAAUAUUGGACAAUGGGGGGAACCCUGAUCCAGCGACGCCGCGUGAGUGAAGAAGUAUUUCGGUCUGUAAAGCUCUAUCAGCAGGGAAGAAAGAAAUGACGGUACCUGACUAAGAAGCCCCGGCUAACUACGUGCCAGCAGCCGCGGUAAUACGUAGGGGGCAAGCGUUAUCCGGAUUUACUGGGUGUAAAGGGAGCGUAGACGGCAAUGCAAGUCUGGAGUGAAAGGCGGGGGCCCAACCCCCGGACUGCACUGGGAACUGUCAGGCUGGAGUGCCGGAGGGGUAAGCGGAAUUCCUGGUGUAGCGGUGAAAUGCGUAGAUAUCAGGAGGAACACCGGCGGCGAAGGCGGCUUACUGGACGGCAACUGACGUUGAGGCCCGAAAGCGUGGGGAGCGAGCAGGAUUAGAUACCCUCGUA
rnacentral:rRNA from 1 species